rnacentral:rRNA from 1 species
CCUUAGUAGCGGCGAGUGAAGCGGCAAAAGCUCAAAUUUGAAAUCUGGCGCCUUCGGUGUCCGAGUUGUAAUUUGAAGAUUGUAACCUUGGGGUUGGCUCUUGUCUAUGUUUCUUGGAACAGGACGUCACAGAGGGUGAGAAUCCCGUGCGAUGAGAUGCCCAAUUCUAUGUAAGGUGCUUUCGAAGAGUCGAGUUGUUUGGGAAUGCAGCUCUAAGUGGGUGGUAAAUUCCAUCUAAAGCUAAAUAUUGGCGAGAGACCGAUAGCGAACAAGUACAGUGAUGGAAAGAUGAAAAGAACUUUGAAAAGAGAGUGAAAAAGUACGUGAAAUUGUUGAAAGGGAAGGGUUUGAGAUCAGACUCGAUAUUUUGUGAGCCUUGCCUUCGUGGCGGGGUGACCCGCAGCUUAUCGGGCCAGCAUCGGUUUGGGCGGUAGGAUAAUGGCGUAGGAAUGUGACUUUACUUCGGUGAAGUGUUAUAGCCUGCGUUGAUGCUGCCUGCCUAGACCGAGGACUGCGAUUUUAUCAAGGAUGCUGGCAUAAUGAUCCCAAACCGCCCGUCUG